UGGCUCAGUGGUAGAGCACUUGCCUCACAUGCAUGAGGCCCUGGGUUCGAUUCCUCAG
rfam:Dipodomys ordii contig_22516, whole genome shotgun sequence.